rnacentral:rRNA from 1 species
GACGAACGCUGGCGGCGUGCCUAAUACAUGCAAGUCGAGCGGACGAAUCGAAAGCUUGCUUUUGAUUCGUUAGCGGCGGACGGGUGAGUAACACGUGGGCAACCUGCCCUGUAGACGGGGAUAACACCAAGAAAUCGGUGCUAAUACCGGAUAACACGAAAUGUCGCAUGACGUUUCGUUGAAAGACGGCGCAAGCUGUCGCUACAGGAUGGGCCCGCGGCGCAUUAGCUAGUUGGUGAGGUAACGGCUCACCAAGGCGACGAUGCGUAGCCGAACUGAGAGGGUGAUCGGCCACACUGGGACUGAGACACGGCCCAGACUCCUACGGGAGGCAGCAGUAAGGAAUCUUCCGCAAUGGACGAAAGUCUGACGGAGCAACGCCGCGUGAGCGAAGAAGGACUUCGGGUCGUAAAGCUCUGUUGUUAGGGAAGAACAAGUAACGCAGUAACUGGCGUUACCGUGACGGUACCUAACGAGAAAGCCACGGCUAACUACGUG